GCUUAUGGCCAUACCACCCUGAGCACGCCCGAUUACGUCUGAUCUCGGAAGCUAAGCAGGGUCGGUCCUGGUUAGUACUUGGAUGGGAGACCGCCUGGGAAUACCAGGUGCUGUAAGCU
rnacentral:rRNA from 1 species